GACGAACGCUGGCGGCGUGCUUAACACAUGCAAGUCGAACGGAAAGGCCUCUUUCGGGGGGUACUCGAGUGGCGAGCGGGUGAGUAACACGUGAGUAACCUGCCCUUGACUUUGGGAUAACUUCAGGAAACUGGGGCUAAUACCGGAUAGGAGCUCCUGCUGCAUGGUGGGGGUUGGAAAGUUUCGGCGGUUGGGGAUGGACUCGCGGCUUAUCAGCUUGUUGGUGGGGUAGUGGCUUACCAAGGCUUUGACGGGUAGCCGGCCUGAGAGGGUGACCGGCCACAUUGGGACUGAGAUACGGCCCAGACUCCUACGGGAGGCAGCAGUGGGGAAUAUUGCACAAUGGGUGGAAGCCUGAUGCAGCAACGCCGUGUGCGGGAGGACGGCCUUCGGGUUGUAAACCGCUUUCGCUCAUGACGAAGCUUUGCGUGACGGUAGUGGGUAAAGAAGCACCGGCUAACUACGUG
rnacentral:rRNA from 1 species